GAGCCGCCGGCCGACACAAUCGCAGCGCCACCUGUGCCGGCCACUAUCAGACCGGAAACAAGCGGAAACAAAGCCACUGUUACCAAUCCAGCCAAGAAAAAGACGCCACCCUCUUCGCAGAAUGCAUCUGCAGACCCGCCGCCGCUGGCCACGCGCUACCUGCAGGCGGCCAAGGGCGAAGGAGUGCGGAUAGCCGGCCUCGUGCGGCGGCCCCUGCCGGCCCAGUGACGUCACCGCGGCAUCUGACGGGACAGCGACGUCAUCACGGCGGCUGACGGGACAGUGACGUCAUCACGGCGGCUGACGGGACAGCGACGUCAUCACGGCGGCUGACAGGACAGUGACAUCACCACGGCGUCGGACGAGAUAAUGACGUCACCACGGCGUGCAAUGGGACAGCGACGUCAUGGCAGCUGCUGGAAAAGUGACGUCAUCACGGGACAGUGAUAUCACCACGGUGGCGGACGGGACAGUGACGUCCACACGGCCCCCCUCUGGCCCGGGCAUUAUGACAUGGUGUGAUAAUGUGAUGCACACGUGAUGGACACAACGGCGUAUCAUCAUCACGGGCUUCCUCCAAUUGCGGUAGGCCGAAUCCCAGGUGACCCCGGGCGAGGAUGAAGGCCGCUGGUCAGGCCACCGCCAGAUGUCAUGGUGAUCGUGCUGGCCUCGCCGCGCCACCUGUCUGGAGAUUGCAGAAGCUCGGGGCGUGUCCCGAUCGCCGUCAGAGGCGGUCCCAAGCACGUGAAGGCGGUCGGCCCGGGCGGGAGCCGCCCCGCCCCUGAUGUGUGGGACGCUCGUCUGGCGCAGCCCGUUAUAGCACGCAGCAUACAGCGGCGCUCGUCCCCUCAUGGUGUUGUGCUUUACCGCAGAUUUGUGUCAGAUCCGUCUAGAAUGGCCUAUGCUGUCGUGGUGUCGGAAGUCGCAGGAAUGAAUGUUGGUGUUUGAUCUGGUAAUGCCGGAGACAGAUAGCAGUAUUUGAUAUGGGAGGCCAGAAGGACUGCACUAUGAUAUAUAGACGUGUUCGUGAUGGGAUGCGAUGAUGCAAACCAUGUUUGAGUACGUUCUCUUAGCUAGCAUUAGGAGUCAAGUA